rnacentral:rRNA from 1 species
UACGGGGGGAGCAAGCGUUGUUCGGAUUUACUGGGCGUAAAGGGCGCGUAGGCGGUCAGCACAAGUCAAUUGUGAAAUCUCCGAGCUUAACUCGGAAAGGUCAACCGAUACUGCGGGGCUAGAGUGCAGAAGGGGCAACUGGAAUUCUCGGUGUAGCGGUGAAAUGCGUAGAUAUCGAGAGGAACACCUGCGGCGAAGGCGGGUUGCUGGGCUGACACUGACGCUGAUGUGCGAAAGCUAGGGGAGCGAACGGG